rnacentral:lncRNA from 1 species
GACAUUCUUCUGGACAAUGAGUCCCAUCAUCUCUCCACCAUGCACCUUGUGACUCCCUCCUCUGCUGACAACAGAUAACCACCUUUAACUGUGGUCUUCUAUACGGACAUGCUUGACACUUGGUGCCAAAAUCUGGGCCAGGGGGACUCCUUCGUGAGACCGGCCCCCUGUCCUGGCCCUCAUUCCGUGAAGAGAUCCACCUGCGACCUCGGGUCCUCAGACCAGCCCAAGGAACAUCUCACCAAUUUCAAAUCGGAUCUCCUCGGCUUAGUGGCUGAAGACUGAUGCUGCCCGAUCGCCUCAGAAGCCCCUUGGACCAUCACAGAUGCCGAGCUUCGGGUAACUCUUACGGUGGAGGAUUCCCAGCCAUAUGAAGACACCCUAGCUGGACGAUCAGUCCUUGUCAAAAGUCUGACCCCUCAAACUCUACAGCCUCAAUGGACCAGACCCUACCCGGUCAUUUAUAGCACACCAACUGCCGUCCAUCUGCAGGACCCUCUCCAUUGGGUUCACCAUUCCAGAAUAAAGCCAUGCCCAUCAGACAGCCAGCUUGAUCUCUCCUCUUCCUCCUGGAAGCCACAAGAUUAGGCCGAGAGCCGAUCAGACAAACAACCUACAACCCUUAAGCUCCUGGCAGCGCCCAGCCAAGGCCAUGCUUCCUUGCAACACUCCUUCCAAAUGGCCAUCCCAGCAUGCUUCCAAGCAGGCUUCAUCCGUUCCUCUGGACCCUCAUCUCUUAAGACCUGCCGCCUAUAAAAAGGAUUAUAUCUUGAGACCCUAUCCUCUAAAAUUUUUUCCACACCCAAAACAAAAAAUCUCUGGGUCAAAAGUCUAAAACGCUUAGGCUGGCAACCAUCAGAUCCUUGCCCAUGGUGUCCUCAAGCCUACUCUCAUGAAAUGGACAACAGUACACGCAUAUGGGGCCAGUUCCACAUAUUUGGCAACCAGACCAGCAUCCAGGACAACACAAAGAUCUGCAAUCAGAACUAUUGAACUUCUCCAUUCAGACCGCCACUCACACCUAUGGGAAAAGGGUAAUGUAUCAUCGGCUUAGCAACAGGGAAUACUAUUCGUAUGAUGGAAAAUGGGGACAAAAGGCUUUGGUACAUAAAACAUUAUUCCUUCCUUGGCCUAAAAACUCAUCGCCACCUACAUUAAAGCUAAUAUGCCUG